rnacentral:rRNA from 1 species
AACGAACGCUGGCGGCAUGCCUAACACAUGCAAGUCGAACGAGAUCUUCGGGUCUAGUGGCCCACGGGUGCGUAACGCGUGGGAAUCUGCCCUGUGGUUCGGAAUAACAGUUGGAAACGACUGCUAAUACCGGAUGAUGACGAAAGUCCAAAGAUUUAUCGCCAGAGGAUGAGCCCGCGUAGGAUUAGCUAGUUGGUGUGGUAAAGGCGCACCAAGGCGACGAUCCUUAGGUGGUCAGAGAGGAUGAUUAGCCACACUGGGACGGAGACACGGCCCAGACUCCUACGGGAGGCAGCAGUGGGGAAUAUUGGACAAUGGGCGAAAGCCUGAUCCAGCAAUGCCGCGUGAGUGAUGAAGGCCUUAGGGUUGUAAAGCUCUUUUACCCGGGAUGAUAAUGACAGUACCGGGAGAAUAAGCUCCGGCUAACUCCGUGCCAGCCGCCGCCGUAA